rnacentral:tRNA from 1 species
AGUGCAAUUGCCAUGCUGGUGGAUGCUGUCUUCACUGGGCGACGUGCAGACUC